GGCAGUGAUUAAGGUCUGGUGUUUAUCAGGAUAGAUCAGGCAGUCUGCUCGGAGUAAGUAAAAGAAGAAAAAUAGAUACUGAUCAUCUUUAAUGUAGGAGCAAGUUCUGAGGUCUUUAGCAUUCUUUUGUUCUGUGUUUGUGCACCACUUAGAGAUUGUGUGGUACUGAUCUGCGCACUCCGAUAAGCCCCUAGACAUCUUUCUUGAAGGCAUGAAGUUGUGUUGCCACAGGCAGAGACUCUGGGCUCUCCCCCACAGCCACAAGUGAAGGAAGCUUUGGGCUUGUUGGUGCAAGCACAGAAGCUGGACCCCCAUGUAGGAUUACGGUAAACUUGUCAAUCAGUGCCCAGAGGCAGUCAACACAAUGCAGUUGUGCCAGAUACGUAGAGUGACUUGCCAAGAUACUCUCUCUGCAUCACUGAGAUACAAGGAGCCUGAUCCUCCUGCCAGCUUGUGCCCCAGGCUCUGCAAAUCUGUGCCUUUCAGAAGUCCAUGGUUGCCUUUCCUUUGCCAGCAGGGAUAAGUAACAGCAAGUGGGCUGGGGAGCUCUCUCAGAUCUGAUUUUUUGGGGGUAGUUGAAAAGUUUCAAAUCUCAGUUCUGUUUAUUUAAAACACAAAUCCAGCUGAAAUGUGUAUCUGUGAACCAGAGAAGUGAUCAAAAAAGGUCUGCACCUUUUUUUUUUUUUUUUUUUUUUUUUUUUUCUUGAGAAUUAAUCACUUGGCUGUGUUAUUCUUACUGUAAUCUUUCUGUGAUGCUUAAUCUGGAAGAUGUACUUGCAGCUGUCUUGGUAAUAUUCUCCUGCUGGCAUCAUCAGAUCUGUUAUUUGUACCAUUUACCUGUUUUCAAAGCACAUCAGGUUUAUGUAUUAUUUUUCGACUGCUUUAGCUUUGUACUUUUACACCUAAAGAAAUGAGUAUGCUUUCUUUGAUGCCAUUUUUCCAUUUUUGAUAAACUAAUAUUAAAAAUAAAGGCUGUUUGAAAUCUGA